AAUUAGUGGCAGACGGGUGAGUAAUGCAUAGGAAUCUACCUAGUAGUAUAGGAUAGCCACUAGAAGUGGUGGGUAAUACUGUAUAAUCCCUGCGGGGGAAAGAUUUAUCGCUACAUGAUGAGCCUAUGUUAGAUUAGCUAGUUGGUGGGGUAAUGGCCUACCAAGGCAGUGAUCUAUAGCUGGUCUGAGAGGAUGAUCAGCCACACUGGAACUGAGACACGGUCCAGACUCCUACGGGAGGCAGCAGUGGGGAAUAUUGGACAAUGGGCGCAAGCCUGAUCCA
rnacentral:rRNA from 1 species